AUGCUACUUCCUCCGUCCGGAAAAGCUUGUCCCUCAAAUGAAUGUAUCUAGCAUCAAGUUAGUGUUAGAUACAUCCAUUUGAGGGACAAGUUUGGGACAAGCUUUUUCGGACAGAGGGAGUACCUA
rnacentral:pre_miRNA from 1 species